rnacentral:SRP_RNA from 1 species
UCGUGCUAGACGGGGAGCUAGCGGUGCCCUGAACCCGCAAUCCGCUAUAGCGGGGUCGAAUUCCCGCUCGAGGUCUGGUCUUUUGAGGCUCGCCCGGCGCAAGAGGCGUUGAUGGUCGGGCCCUGCGCAACGGCCGUCUCACGAACCCCGUCAGGUCCGGAAGGAAGCAGCGGUAAGUGAGUUCGCCCGUGUGCCGCACGGUUUCCUGGCUGGAGCAGGCUGCGCUCGGUAACACUCGGAGGGCCCUAUCGAAGGCGGGUGCACGA